AUUGAACGCUGGCGGCAGGCCUAACACAUGCAAGUCGAGCGGAGCGGCGGACGGGCGAGUAAUGCCUAGGUAUCUGCCUGGUAGUGGGGGCUAACGUCCGGAAACGGGCGCUAAUACCGCAUACUAUCAGAUGAGCCUAGGUCGGAUUAGCUAGUGGGGGGGUUAAAGGCCUACCAAGGCGACGAUCCGUAACUGGUCUGAGAGGAUGAUCAGUCACACUGGAACUGAGACACGGUCCAGACUCCUACGGGAGGCAGCAGUGGGGAAUAUUGGACAAUGGGGGAAAGCCUGAUCCAGCCAUGCCGCGUGUGUGAAGAAGGUCUUCGGGUUGUAAAGCACUUUAAGUUAGGAGGCGUUACCAACAGAAUAAGCACCGGCUAACUUCGUGCCAGCAGCCGCGGUAAUUC
rnacentral:rRNA from 1 species